rnacentral:tRNA from 2 species
GGGUGAUUAGCUCAGUUGGUAGAGCGUCUGCCUUACAAGCAGAAUGUCAGCGGUUCGAAUCCGUUAUCACCCACCA